rnacentral:sRNA from 1 species
AAAAACGGUGAAGGACAUGAGAAGUUUCCUCGGUCAUGCUGGGUUCUACAGAAGAUUUAUUAAAGACUUCUCCAAGAUAGCCAGACCGUUAACCAGACUAUUGUGCAAGGAGACCGAGUUUGAAUUUGAUGAGGACUGCCUCAAAUCCUUUCACACCAUCAAGGACGCCAGCCGGACGUUGGAUGAAGCUCAAGGAAGAUAUGCAACAAUUGAGAAGGAGCUUCUAGUUGUUGUAUUCGCAUUUGAGAUGUUCAGAAGCUAUUUGGUUGGAUCAAAGGUAACUGUCUAUACAGACCAUGCAGCUUUGAGGCAUCUGUAUGCCAAGAAGGAUACUAAACCAAGACUGUUAAGAUGGAUACUCCUGUUGCAAGAGUUUGACAUGGAAAUAGUAGACAAGAAAGGCAUCUAAAAUGGUGCAGCUGACCAUCUGUCAAGGAUGAGAAUCGAAGAACCCAUUCCGAUAGACGAUUCAAUGCUAGAAGAGCAGCUCAUGGUUGUAGAAUUCUUCGGUAGGAGCUACAGCGGGAAAGAGUUCCACCAACUGAACGAUGUUGAAGGAAGAUCUCCAAGGUAUGCUGAUCACGUCAAUUACUUGGCGUGCAGAGUAGAGCCUCCCAACCUGACCAGUUAUGAAAGGAAGAAUUUUUUCCGAGACAUACACCAUUACUACUGGGAUGAGCCUUAUCUUUACACUCUCUAUAAAGAUAAGAUCUACAGGAGAUGCGUCUCAGAAGAUGAAGUAGAAGGUAUCCUGCUGCAUUGCCAUGGCUCCACAUAUGGUGGUCACUUCGCGACGUUCAAGAGGAGGACCACACUCACUCGAUCUAGCAGCAAGAGAGGACGACUUCUGCAGUCUUGUAGUUUACGCGACCGGGGUGCUGGCCGAAGCAGAAGAAGAGAGGUCGAGUAUCGUCAAAGCGGUGCUGGCCGCCACAGAGUUGAUGAGGUCGAGUACCCACAUGUUGGAGCUGACAUAGAACAAGGCGAAUCGUCUAUGGCCUGGGAGCAAUCACAGGUAGCCAUUGACGACCAACUCCGUUUAUUCUUCGACUGAGGUAAGCGCCUCAUGGAUACCCUGAAAUACUUGGAUUUUCUUAUUCAUUUUAAUCACUCUUGUUAAUCCAAGUAGCUGACUCUCCUUAUUAGAGCAGUUAACCCAAACCCAAACCUAAACUUUCUUUCAAGCCUUAUAUCACUUGUGAGUGUUUGUGAGGUCUUAUUCCGAUUAAGUUUAGUAGAAAGUGUCAGGUUUGUAACGACAGAGAUAGUGUCUCAUGUAGUUCUAGUUUACAUUUUUCGGACUAGAUAGGACUAGGUGAGCGCUUAUACUUUAAGUGGGGAUGUGUCUAAAAAAAAAAAAAAAAAAAAAAAGAGGAGUUGAUUCAUUGAUAAGAAAAGGUAAAAGACUCUAGGUGAAGUAAGCUAAAGGAGCAGAAAAAGUCUAGUAAAGAUUUUGGGAUUUGUAAAGAAAAGAGUUCUUGUUAGCUAAUGAAGAAGGGUAAAAGCCCUCAGUUUUAAAAUUUUAAAAACAGGAACCUUAGUUGUUUAAGAAAUCCAAAUCCGCUAGAUGUAUCAAAGUGUUGAGGAAGGUUCUCCUAGAGUCAAGAGAAAAGAAAAGAAUAAUUAGAAAAAGGGCUUAAAAGAUUCAUGAAUGCAAAGGGUAUAGUUAAGUU